rnacentral:rRNA from 1 species
UACGGGGGGGGCAAGCGUUGUUCGGAAUUACUGGGCGUAAAGGGCUCGUAGGUGGCCAACUAAGUCAUACGUGAAAUCCCUCAGCUUAACUGGGGAACUGCGUCUGAUACUGGGGGGCUUGAGUAUGGGAGAGGGAUGUAGAAUUCCAGGUGUAGCGGUGAAAUGCGUAGAUAUCAAGAGGAACACCUGAGGUGAAGACGGGUUGCUGGGCUGACACUGACGCUGAGGCGCGAAAGCCAGGGGAGCAAACGGG